rnacentral:rRNA from 1 species
AUUGAACGCUGGCGGCAGGCCUAACACAUGCAAGUCGAACGAGUGGCGGACGGGUGAGUAAUGUCUGGGACACUGCCUGAUGGAGGGGGAUAACUACUGGAAACGGUAGCUAAUACCGCAUACCAUCGGAUGUGCCCAGAUGGGCUUAGCUAGUAGGUGGGGUAAAGGCUCACCUAGGCGACGAUCCCUAGCUGGUCUGAGAGGAUGACCAGCCACACUGGAACUGGGACAGGGUCCAGACUCCUACGGGAGGCAGCAGUGGGGAAUAUUGCACAAGGGGCGCAAGCCGGACGAAGCCAUGCCGCGUGGAGGAAGAAGGCCUUCGGGUUGUAAAGUACUUUCAGCGGGGAGGCGUUAACCGAAGAAGAAGCAACGGCUAACUCCGUGCCAGCAGCCGCGGUAAUUC